rnacentral:rRNA from 1 species
UACGAAGGGGGCUAGCGUUGUUCGGAUUUACUGGGCGUAAAGCGCGUGUAGGCGGGUCGUUAAGUUGGGGGUGAAAUCCCGAGGCUCAACCUCGGCACUGCCUUCAAGACUGGCGACCUGGAGCAAAGAAGAGGCGAGUGGAAUUCCGAGUGUAGAGGGGAAAUGCGUAGAGAUGCGGAGGAACACCAGUGGCGAAGGCGACUCGCUGGUCUGUUGCUGACGCUGAGACGCGAAAGCGUGGGGAGCAAACAGG